rnacentral:lncRNA from 1 species
CAGGGAAGCAGCGGCCGCCAUUUCAGGGAGCUUGUCGACGCUGUCGCAGGGGUGGAUCCUGAGCUGCCGAAGCCGCCGUCCUGCUCUCCCGCGUGGGCUUCUCUAAUUCCAUUGUUUUUUUUAGAUUCUCUCGGGCCUAGCCGUCCUUGGAACCCGAUAUUCGGGCUGGGCGGUUCCGCGGCCUGGGCCUAGGGGCUUAACAGUAGCAACAGAAGCGGCGGCGGCGGCAGCAGCAGCAGCAGCAGCAGCAAUCUCUUCCCGAACACGAGCACCACAGGCGCCCGAAGGCCGGAACAGGCGUUUAGAGAAAAUGGCAGACGAUAUUGAUAUUGAAGCAAUGCUUGAGGCUCCUUACAAGAAGGUGAGAAAAAACAUGUCGGUGAGGUUUAUAUAUUUCUUAAUUUAGCAUUAUUCACGAAACUACUGCUGAAAUGUAAACUAACCUCCCCGGAGCCCUCUUGAUUUAUCUUAUCAGAGAUGCAUUACGUGUAACUUACAAAAGUAAAUAUAUGCUAUUGAUGUAAUAAUAUUGUGCAGUAGUUUCACUUCAGCGUGAUGAAUAAAUGCCCAUCUAUCUCUCUUUGUAGACUUGCCUAACGAUAUCUCACCUCUACUCCCAUGAAUUCACCUUUGAUUCCAGUGUGAACUGUCAAUCAUAAGGUAGUAAUUGAGUGACUUAUCGCUGUACCGUGGUCCCCUAGGUAAAAUGACUCAACUAAGAAUUACCACCUCCAGUUUGGUAUAGCAAAAAGGUGAAUGUAGUGGUUUGGGAAAAAGCAGGGGUCCAAGAAUAACAAAGCAUGACCAGUCUGUGGCAAGUUAAAUCUUCUAACAGUCUUAUAAGAAGAAAUGGGUGAGAUUUUAAAAUUUAUGUAUCUAUGUAAGACUGGUGAUAGUAAAUCUUAAAACAGUCCAGUGGCAAUCUGCUGCUCAGUUAAUAAUUACUAAAAUUCUUGGAUCCCUGAAUAG